rfam:Anopheles arabiensis strain DONG5_A unplaced genomic scaffold supercont1.14, whole genome shotgun sequence.
AUCGGCUAGAGGCUCUGCAAUGGGAUGGGAUCCGAAGUCCCUCGAGGGAUAAUACAGGCUCUCCCAUCCAACUCCUAUUCCGACACGUCCUCGUCGUGCAGAGUGGUAACGUGUGCCACCACAUAUCCAAGCUUGGGUACACGGGCUUGACCCAACUCCUUGGGCGGAUUGCAAUCCAAGAGGAGGGUG